rnacentral:rRNA from 1 species
UAGGGAAUCUUUCACAAUGGACGCAAGUCUGAUGGAGCAACGCCGCGUGAGUGAAGAAGGUUUUCGGAUCGUAAAGCUCUGUUGUUGGUGAAGAAGGAUAGAGGCAGUAACUGGUCUUUAUUUGACGGUAAUCAACCAGAAAGUCACGGCUAACUACGUGCCAGCAGCCGCGGUAAUACGUAGGUGGCAAGCGUUGUCCGGAUUUAUUGGGCGUAAAGCGAGCGCAGGCGGAAUGAUAAGUCUGAUGUGAAAGCCCACGGCUCAACCGUGGAACUGCAUCAGAAACUGUCAUUCUUGAGUGCAGAAGAGGAGAGUGGAAUUCCGUGUGUAGCGGUGGAGUGCAUAGAUAUAUGGAAGAACACCAGUGGCGAGGGCGGCUCUCUGGUCUGCAACUGACGCUGAGGCUCGAAAGCAUGGGUAGCGAACAGG